UACGGAGGAUGCAAGCGUUAUCCGGAUUCAUUGGGUUUAAAGGGUGCGCAGGCGGGCAUUUAAGUCAGUGGUGAAAUUUUGCAGCUUAACUGUAACAGUGCCGUUGAUACUGGGGAGCUAGGAUUUGGUUGCUGUGGGUGGAAUGUGUGGUGUAGCGGUGAAAUGCUUAGAGAUCACACAGAAUAUCGAUUGCGAAGGCAGCUCACAAAGCCAAGAUUGACGCUGAGGCACGAAAGUGUGGGGAUCAAA
rnacentral:rRNA from 1 species